rnacentral:rRNA from 1 species
GGUAGGGGCGCUUUUAUUGGUCCAAGACCAUUCGCCCGGUCCUCCGGGCGUCUCCUUGAUGAAUCCAAAUAACAAAUCAGAUCGCAUGGUCUUCGUACCGGCGACUUAUCUUUCAAAUGCCUGACUUAUCAACUGACGAUGGUAGACUCUGUGUCUACCAUGGCUCCUACGGGUAACGGGGAAUCAGGGUUCGAUUCCGGAGAGGGAGCCUGAGAAACGGCUACCACAUCCAAGGAAGGCAGCAGGCACGCAAAUUACCCACUCCCGGCACGGGGAGGUAGUGACAAAAAAUAACGAUACGGGACUCGAUAUGAGGCCCCGUAAUCGGAAUGAGUACACUUUAAACCCUUAUUCAAAUAUCAAUUGGAGGGAAAGUUCUGGUGCCAGCAGCCGCGGUAAUUCCAGCUCCAAUAGCGUAUAUUAAAGUUGUUGCGGUUAAAAAGCUCGUAGUUGGUUCUGCGUCCCACGCUGUCGGUACACCUUUUGUUGGUGACACUGGCAUGCCGUGGUAUGUCCUGUCGGUGGCGGCCUUUGGUGGGCCCUAGCGCUUCGGAUCAAACCGUCGUGCGAAGGUCUACCUGGUCGCCGGCUACUAUCCUACCGCGGUGCUCUUCAUUGAGUGUCGAGGUAGGCCGACACGUUUACUUUGAACAAAUUUGAGUGCUUAAAGCAGGCAAAAAUCUCUGCCUGAAUAGUGGUGCAUGGAAUAAUGGAACAGGCCCUUGGUUCUAUUUUGUUGGUCUUCGGAACACAAGGAAAUGAUCAAUGUGGACAGGCGGGGGCAUUCGUAUUGCGGCGUUAGAGGUGAAAUUCUUGGAUCGUCGCAAGACGCACUAGAGCGAAAGCAUUUGCCAAGUAUGUCCUAAUUGAUCAAGAACGAAAGUUAGAGGUUCGAAGGCGAUCAGAUACCGCCCUAGUUCUAACCAUAAACGAUGCCAGCCAGCGAUCCGCCGAUGUUCCUCCGAUGACUCGGCGGGGAGCUUUCUUCGGGAAACCAAAGCUUUUGGGUUCCGGGGGAAGUAUGGUUGCAAAGCUGAAACUUAAAGGAAUUGACGGAAGGGCACCACAAGGAGUGGAGCCUGCGGCUUAAUUUGACUCAACACGGGAAACCUCACCAGGUCAAGACAUUGGAAUGAUUGACAGAUUGAUAGCUCUUUCUUGAUUCAGUGGGUAGUGGUGCAUGGCCGUUCUUAGUUGGUGGAUCGAUUUGUCUGGUUAAUUCCGAUAACGAACGAGACUCUAGCCAAUUAACUAGACGUUUCCGGUAUCGAAGCUACCGGCGAUAUAUUAUCUUCUUAGGGGGACAGGCGGCUCUUAGCCGCACGAGAUUGAGCAAUAACAGGUCUGUGAUGCCCUUAGAUGUCCUGGGCCGCACGCGCGCUACACUGAAGGAAUCAGCCUGUUCGUUCCCUUGGCCGAAAGGCCCGGGUAACCCGCUGAACCUCCUUCGUGCUAGGAAUUGGGGCUUGCAAUUGUUCCCCAUGAACGAGGAAUUCCUAGUAAGCGCGAGUCAUAAGCU